GGUGAGGUGUCCGAGUGGUUGAAGGAGCACGCCUGGAAAGUGUGAAUGUGUUAAUAUGCAUCAAGGGUUCGAAUCCCUUCCUCACCG
rnacentral:tRNA from 1 species